AGUCGUGACCAUACUGCCAUGAAUGCAUCUGAUCUCAUCUCACCUCAGAAGCCAAGCAGGGUAGAGUCUGGUUAGUGCCUGCUGUAAAGAUAUUCGCAUAGAGUGUCUACUU
rnacentral:rRNA from 1 species